UCCUUGGUGGCUCAAAGAGUAAAGAGCUUGUCUGCAAUGCAGGAGACCCAGGUUCAAUCCCUGGGUUGGGAA
rnacentral:tRNA from 1 species